rnacentral:rRNA from 1 species
UACGUAGGGUCCGAGCGUUGUCCGGAAUUAUUGGGCGUAAAGAGCUCGUAGGCGGUUUGUCGCGUCUGCUGUGAAAUCCCGAGGCUCAACCUCGGGUCUGCAGUGGGUACGGGCAGACUGGAGUGCGGUAGGGGAGAAUGGAAUUCCUGGUGUAGCGGUGGAAUGCGCAGAUAUCAGGAGGAACACCGAUGGCGAAGGCAGGUCUCUGGGCCACUACUGACGCUGAGAAGCGAAAGCAUGGGGAGCGAACAGG